rnacentral:rRNA from 1 species
CACGUAAGGGGCGAGCGUUGUUCGGAAUUAUUGGGCGUAAAGGGCACGCAGGCGGCCUGACAAGUCUGGUGUGAAAGAUCCGGGCUCAACUCGGAGAACGCGCUGGAAACUGUCGAGCUAGAGUAUUGGAGGGGGAGUCGGAAUUCCUAGUGUAGGGGUGAAAUCUGUUGAUAUUAGGAAGAACACCGGUGGCGAAGGCGGACUCCUGGCUGAAUACUGACGCUGAGGUGCGAAAGCAUAGGGAGCAAACAGG